ACCCCACACACACCCAAACACAGACACAGCCUAUACAUCACACCUCCUGAGUUACAAAAGGCACAACCCUCCUCAAACACACAUCCAUCCUCCGGCACACACCCAGUCCAUGCCUCGCCCCCACACACACCUGACACCCCAGUGCAACACCACACCCACCCUCCCCUCCCUGCAAACUCCCACCUCCGCCCACCUGCUUAAUACACAUUCUCACCCCCCACACACUCCUUAAUACAUACUCUCACACCCACAAGCCUGCCUUCUUGGAGAAGUGAGCCGAGCCGUGCAGCGCCGCGAAGGGCAUCCCCGAAGACCGGGAGGAACGCCGCGGGGACCUGUGGCUUAGCGCGCUCCGCCCGGGCUUGUCUGCCCGCGGGGGCGCAGCGGCUGAGGCGGCUCCGGGCCGGAGUUCCAAUCAAGCGCCACCCAACUCCCAGUCGGGGGCCGAGGCCAGCGCCGGGAUGCCAGCUUCCCCCAAAAAGAUCCUGCCUCAGGGAAAUGCAUGGAGCCGGCGGAAAAGCCCGCGGCGCCCCCGGCGGAUCGCAGACCCUAAGGGGGCGGGAGGUGGCGCCCCAGUCCCAACCUCUUGAGCCAACCCAGUGGGUGGGAAGUGCCCUUACCCUAGGCCUUCCGCAAAGUGUUCUCUCCUUGUAUUAUUCUAAUUACGGUAUUUUUAAUUUCCUUAAAAAAAUAAGAAACAGAAAAGCACAGAACGCA
ensembl:lncRNA UNC5B-AS1 UNC5B antisense RNA 1